GGGGGGAGCGCCGGAUCUUGUGCUGUGUCCCUAGCGCCCUGGGCUCCCAGGACUGCGCAGUUGGAAUCCCGCUCUCAGCCCCGCAGCUCCAU
rnacentral:pre_miRNA from 1 species